AGCUUAUUACAUUUAAGUUUUAUCAGCUUAAUUCUACCCAGAGUGGUUGAUCCUCAAGGAUCUCAGGGUUCUACACCAAGUAAAAGGCAACCUAAUCUAGUAGCAAUGUUUUUAGCCCUGGCUGCUGUGGCUCAAUGGCCUGAAUGCCAGCCUGUGAACCAAAAGGUCACUGGUGCGACUCCCAAUAAGGGCACAUGCCUGGG